rnacentral:tRNA from 1 species
GCGGGUGUAGCUCAAUGGUAGAGCGCCAGCUUCCCAAGCUGGUAGCGUGGGUUCGAUUCCCAUCACCCGCUCCA